rnacentral:rRNA from 1 species
CGGCGGACGGGUGAGUAACACGUGGAUAACCUACCUAUAAGACUGGGAUAACUUCGGGAAACCGGAGCUAAUACCGGAUAAUAUUUUGAACCGCAUGGUUCAAAAGUAAAAGACGGUCUUGCUGUCACUUAUAGAUGGAUCCGCGCUGCAUUAGCUAGUUGGUAAGGUAACGGCUUACCAAGGCAACGAUGCAUAGCCGACCUGAGAGGGUGAUCGGCCACAAUGGAACUGAGACACGGUCCAG